rnacentral:lncRNA from 1 species
AUUUUUCUGCGAGGUUGGCUUAUAACUUGUGACCAGAGGUCCAGAGCUUCCCUUUCCGCCCCUAGUUCCCUUGGCACUUGGGGGCUUCCAACAAGCCUCCUUUGCUGACCUAAUCUUCCUGUAAUGGUUGCAUCUGAAAGAUUGUUGUUGCUUGUUACCUUUGUGCUAGAGUUUGCAGUAAUAUCGUUGUCGUUAUGUUGUUUCACUUGGCUUAGAGACAUCAACUACGGAUAAUUCUACUUAGCUUUCUUUCUCUAGCAUAACAUUUCUUUUCCUUAUUCUCUUGUUCUAACCAUGGCUAAUUCCAGUUGCUCUUUCCCAUGGAGUUGGAUCCAUGUUUGAUCCAUUUACACAUUGAAUCAGACCUGGAAAUCAAACACCCAUCUCAUUCAAUGUACUCUUUAUGCCCUGUUGUACAUAUGUUUGCACGUCCUUCUUAAACUCUGAGAUUGAUCGAUUUGAGCUGAAGACCAUUAAUAGCACUGUAGUACUCAAUUACUGAAAGGUUACUUUUAUUUGGUGUUGUGAAUCUUUGUCAUUAGUUCAAAUCUUUGGGUUGCAUCCAUUACCUUAGGAUGCAAAACACAGAUUCCCUGAUUUCCUUAGCUGUUGAGAGGAAUGUGCAUGUGCGGCUUAUUUCUCGCUGCAUAGAGUUCCAAAGUUGUGACAUGAUUUGAGAAUCUUCUUCAUCCCACAAGGCAAAACUUGGAUCAUUUUUUCUCAUCACAGGUCAAAUAAGCUGGUUCUAUUUCCCUUUCCCCUAUUAUUUGUGUUUACAUCUGUUGAUCAUUCUAAAUAAUUUCCCUGUUGAGUUUAACGGCUCCCAUUAUAUUUUGGAGUUCACUCUGUUCCCUUGACUCGGACUGUGGCUUAACCUGAUAUUGAGGAAUUAGUUUAAAGUUUCUGAUAUAUUAUGAGACGCAUAAAGGUAUAUGGAGGGAAGUUGGAUGGACAAGACGCUCACUAGAUAGAGGCAAUGAAGGCAUGAUCUAAAGGGUAAUAGCUGACAAAUGGUCUGAAACAGAUGGAAUACAUUCUCGAAAAAAGUCCCUGAGGACAA